CAAGUGGCCUUUAUAAAGGCCAUUAAAGACUUUUUAAAAUUAAAAU
rfam:Monodelphis domestica chromosome 4, whole genome shotgun sequence.